ACUUUACAGUGCGGGAAACCGUGAUAAGGGAACUCCGAGUGCCCGUAAAAUCGGGCUGUCCAUCUGUUUAAAUAACAGGUGAAGAAAGGGCCGGGCAAGACCGGUGCCAGCCGCCGCGGUAAUACCGGCGGCUCGAGUGGUGGCCACUAUUACUGGGCUUAAAGCGUUCGUAGCUGGUCUGUUAAGUCUCUGGGGAAAUCUACUGGCUUAACCAAUAGACGUUUCAGGGAUACUGGCAGACUAGGGACCGGGAGAGGUGAGAGGUACUCCAGGGGUAGGAGUGAAAUCCUGUAAUCCUUGGGGGACCACCUGUGGCGAAGGCGUCUCACCAGAACGGCUCCGACAGUGAG
rnacentral:rRNA from 1 species